AUGUAUAUCUUUUUCUGUUUUAAUGAUCACAUAGGUUUUUUCUUACACUCCAUAAUUACACCUUAUAAUUUAUAUUUUUCUUUAAUUUUCAGGUCCUUAUGUCUCUCUUUGUGUAACACUCUUGCAGGAAAAUUCAGUACAGGUUUUUUCCAGAGGAUUUGUUCCACUGUAAUGGCUACUCAUUCUCAAAAAACUGAAAAUGCUUUACCUGAAAAAUCUAAACUGAUGAGAAAGAAAGAAAUUUCUGUGUUCGUUCUGCUGUGGAAUGGGUCAGUGAAUCAGUGA
rnacentral:lncRNA from 1 species